rnacentral:tRNA from 1 species
GGGCUCGUAGUUUAACGGUAAAACAGGAUUCUUAUAAAAUCCAGUAGAAGGUUCAAUUCCUUCCGAGCCCA